UACGUAGGGCGCGAGCGUUUGUCCGGAAUUAUUGGGCGUAAAGAGCUCGUAGGCGGCCUGUUGCGUCCGCUGUGAAAUCCCAGGGCUCAACCCUGGGCGUGCAGUGGAUACGGGCAGGCUGGAGGCAGGCAGGGGGAGAACGGAAUUCCCGGUGUAGCGGUGAAAUGCGCAGAUAUCGGGAGGAACACCGGUGGCGAAGGCGGGUCUCUGGGCCAUUACUGACGCUGAGGAGCGAAAGCGUGGGGAGCGAACAGG
rnacentral:rRNA from 1 species